CAGCAGCCGCGGGAAUACGUAGGUGGCAAGCGUUGUCCGGAAUUAUUGGGCGUAGAGGGCUCGCAGGCGGUUUCUUAAGUCUGAUGUGAAAGCCCCCGGCUCAACCGGGGAGGGUCAUUGGAAACUGGGAAACUUGAGUGCAGAAGAGGAGAGUGGAAUUCCACGUGUAGCGGUGAAAUGCGUAGAGAUGUGGAGGAACACCAGUGGCGAAGGCGACUCUCUGGUCUGUAACCGACGCUGAGGAGCGAAAGCGUGGGGAGCGAACAGGAUUAGAUACCCCCGUAGUCCCUGUCUCUUAUAC
rnacentral:rRNA from 1 species